rnacentral:rRNA from 1 species
CCUACGGGUGGCAGCAGUGGGGAAUAUUGCACAAUGGGCGCAAGCCUGAUGCAGCCAUGCCGCGUGUGUGGAGAAGGCCUUCGGGUUGUAAAGCACUUUCAGCGGGGAGGAAGGCGUUAAGGUUAAUAACCUUGUCGAUUGACGUUACCCGCAGAAGAAGCACCGGCUAACUCCGUGCCAGCAGCCGCGGUAAUACGGAGGGUGCAAGCGUUAAUCGGAAUUACUGGGCGUAAAGCGCACGCAGGCGGUCUGUCAAGUCGGAUGUGAAAUCCCCGGGCUCAACCUGGGAACUGCAUUCGAAACUGGCAAGCUAGAGUCUUGUAGAGGGGGGUAGAAUUCCAGGUGUAGCGGUGAAAUGCGUAGAGAUCUGGAGGGAUACCGGUGGCGAAGGCGGCCCCCUGGACAAAGACUGACGCUCAGGUGCGAAAGCGUGGGGAGCAAACAGGAUUAGAUACCCUAGUAGUC